CCUGAUAACCUGGCGGCGUGCCUAACACAUGCAAGUCGAACGAGCUUGCUUUCUUCGCAAGAGGAAGGGGAGCGAGUGGCGGACGGGUGAGCAACACGUGGGUGACCUGCCCUGUGGUGAGGAAUACCGGCGAGAAAUCGCCGACAAUACCGCAUAGGCUCUCGUGAGAGAGCAAAGCCCGCAAGGGCGCCAGAGGAUGGGCCCGCGGCCGAUUAGCUGGUUGGUGGGGUAAGAGCCUACCAAGGCGACGAUCGGUAGCUGGUCUGAGAGGGCGAUCAGCCACACUGGGAUUGAGAACGGCCCAGACUCCUACGGGGGGCAGCAGUGAGGAAUUUUCGGCAAUGGGGGCAACCCUGACCGAGCAACGCCGCGUGCAGGAAGAAGGUCUUCGGAUCGUAAACUGCUUUUCUCGGGGAAGAGAAUGGACGGUACCCGAGGAAUCAGCCCCGGCUAACUACGUGCCAGCAGCCGCGGUAAUACGUUAGGGGGCGAGCGUUGUCCGGAGUUACUGGGCGUUAAGCGCACGCAGGCGGUCGUGUAAGUUUGGGGUUACAGCUCCCGGCUCAACUGGGAAA
rnacentral:rRNA from 1 species